UCCCGGCUGGCUCAGUCAGUAGAGCGUGGGUUUCUUGAUCUCAGGGUUGUGAGUUUGAGCCCCACGUUGGGUA
rnacentral:tRNA from 1 species